ACCUGUUUUCUGACCUCAAAGGGUUUGUUUUUCAAGAAACACAUUCAAAAAGGAAAUAAGGACUCAAAGCACAGUGAGUAUGCAGAGCACCCCGGCAUACCAGCCGGGGUGGUUCCUGGGACCAGGGACACCAGGAGUGGCUGUUGAUCGUGUCUGACCAGAGACAGCACCCCAGGCCUUCCGUGUCCGAGCGCCUGCUGGUCCUGCUCAGCUGGUUCAUGCUCCAGGCAGCAGCAUCACCAGAGACAACACUUAACCUGCAUGAUGGGGGUCUGUGAAGCCUUCUUGGGCUCCAGCCAGGCCUUCAAAGUCAGGAAGUUUGUGGCUGAAAAGGAGGGGAAAGAAGCUGAGUGUAGAGACAGAGGCUCUGGGUGCGGGGCCAUCCCAGAAGCACAGCCUCAUUUCCCAGCCUGGCCUGGGGACCAGCAGUAGGAGCAGAGCCCAGCGAUCGAGAAUCGAGCAAUCGAGCCUCCUGAUUCCACUGAAACCAGAACUCGGUUGCCUGUAUCUGAUUUGACUCCUGGGGGACAAAAAGGCCUGACAAUAACCGCCCUCCCGAACCUUGCAGGGCAGCUUGGAAGGAUCAAAUGAGGUAACAGCCAUCUUCAGCUAAGAGAUCCUUAGGAAACAAAUGGAUUAUUUCCUUCCUUUAUAACGGAGGGUAUCUCCGGUUCAAAUAAUCAGUCACGCAAAGACUGUUUCUUCUAGAAGGAGAAGAAGAUGAAGGCGACUUGGAUCAGAGAGAAUCAACAACGUAGCCGAGGUCAGGCAGAGACACUACUCACUGAGGCUGCAUGUUCCUCCACAGCCUCCCCACUGGCUCCUCCCCCUAAACGUGGGUGUUCCCAGGCCCUGGGUCUCCUUCUCCCUUUCUGUUAUCUCCCUUUAAAAUCUUGGGUCAGGGCUUCCCUGGUGGCGCAGUGGUUGAGAAUCUGCCUGCUAAUGCAGGGGACACGGGUUCGAGCCCUGGUCUGGGAGGAUCCCACAUGCUGCAGAGCCACUAGGCCUGUGAGCCACAACUACUGAGCCUGCGUGUCUGGAGCUUGUGCUCCGCAACAAGAGAGGCUGUGAUAGUGAGAGGCUCGUGCACCUCGAUGAAGAGUGGCCCCCGCUUGCCACAACUAGAGAAAGCCCUCGCACAGAAACGAAGACCCAACACAGCAAAAAUAAAAUAAAUUAAUUUUUAAAAAAAAUCUUGGGUCAUUUCACCCCUUGGGUCAUCUC